UUGUCUGUAGGUGUGUGUGUAUGUGUGUAUGUCACCGGCUCCAUGAAUCCUCACCUGCUGCUGAUCACCGGCACACCUGUCCUCUAUCUACUCAUCAGUCUCCACAGCUUAUAUGCCAGACUCUUCCACUACACCGACGCCAGAUCGUCCCCGUACACUGAUUAUCCUGUGCUGGUGAUCAGCUCCUGUUGUUCUCUGGAUUCCUGUCUGCCUGUCUGCCUGCCUCUUCAGCCAUCUCCACCUUGCUUGUUCUCCACUGCUACACCCCGGUCCAAUAUCCAUGCUUGUUAUAAUAAAGUCUGAAUCAAGUGACUAAGCUA